AUUUGAAUAGCUUAUAAUUAGAGUAGAGUAUUGAAGAUACUUUGGAGAUUUUUAAAUCUUUAAAUA
rnacentral:tRNA from 1 species